GCCUUCGUGGUGUAACGGUAGCACACUCGGCUCUUAUUCGACAGGUCUAGGGUUCGAUUCCCGGCGAGGACA
rnacentral:tRNA from 1 species